GUUAGUUGCCAUCAUUUGGUUGGGCACUCUAAUGAGACUGCCGGUGACAAACCGGAGGAAGGUGGGGAUGACGUCAAGUCCUCAUGGCCCUUACGGGUAGGGCUUCACACGUCAUACAAUGGUCGGUACAGAGGGUUGCCAACCCGCGAGGGGGAGCCAAUCCCAUAAAGCCAUUCGUAGUCCGGAUCGCAGUCUGCAACUCGACUGCGUGAAGUCGGAAUCGCUAGUAAUCGUGGAUCAGAAUGUCACGGUGAAUACGUUCCCGGGUCUU
rnacentral:rRNA from 1 species